AGUUGUUGCAGUUAAAAAGCUCGUAGUCGGAUGUCGGGCUCGGGCAGGCUGUCGGCUUCGGUCGGACGGCAGGCUCGGGUCUUUCUGCCUGAGGAUCCCGUUGCACUUAAUUGUGGGGCGUGGGGACGCAGGCCGUUUACUUUGAAAAAAUUAGAGUGUUCAAAGCAGGCCUACGCUUGAAUACAUUAGCAUGGAAUAAUGGAAUAGGACUUUGGUGCUAUUUUGUUGGUUUAUGGGACCGAAGUAAUGAUUAACAGGGACAGUUGGGGCCGUUUAUAUUUCGUUGUCAGAGGUGAAAUUCUUGGAUUUACGAAAGAUAAACUUCUGCGAAAGCAUUCGGCAAGGAUGUUUUCAUUGACCAAGAACGAAAGUUAGGGGAUCGAAGACGAUCAGAUACCGUCGUAGUCUUAACCAUAAACUAUGCCGACUAGGGAUCAGUGGAUGUCAAUUUGCGACUCCAUUGGCACCUUGUGAGAAAUCAAAGUUUUUGGGUUCCGGGGGGAGUAUGGUCGCAAGGCUGAAACUUAAAGGAAUUGACGGAAGGG
rnacentral:rRNA from 1 species